AUCCUAAACCCCAGAUCUUCCACAACUGUCUUUCAAGGAGGCAAAGACUACUUGCUGUGUACUGGAAUGUGUCCUUUAUAUUUGAUAUUAACUAAUGGGGAUGAAAUUACUCUUGGCUCUUGAUGUUACUGAGUGUUCCCUUUGGGGGCUGGAUUCCUUCCCAGCAAGUGGUAGCAGCCACCAGCAAAGGCUGUUGAAAUGUCAGAUGGCAAAAACAAGAAAGAGCUCCAGAUGGAGCAACUGGAAGAGAAACAUGAUAGAGAUGGUAAUGGGAAAGCUUCAGAUUCACACUUGAUUGGGAGUCCCAUGCUUGGGAUUCGGACAUGCACAGUCCCACCUGUGGCUUCCAAACCCACUCUCUGUGCAAACCCUUGUGCAAAGCAGCAUCCCAUGAGGAAGUUCUUCCUUAUUAUGGAUUGAAGACUGAAAUAAAUAAAAGCAAUUUGUGGUUCCUACAGCUUUGUACCUGUUGGUCUGCAAGUGGGACCUCACAAUAAGAUGCUUCUCAGGGCAGCAAAACUCACUGACCACUUCUGACUGUGCUGGACACUUCUCCGGAUUCCUCUGGAACAAUGAAGAGGGCUGUGGAAGUGGGGCAGAACAGGACCAGCUCUGGCAUUUUGGCUGCUGCAGUAGGGGAAAGGAGAAGGCAUGAGGAAUCCCUUGAAUCAUUUGAAGAAAAGAUUGGUCCCACUCCACUGAAACCCUUGGCCUACAGAUGUCCCCUAGGAGACCUUUAGUGAACAUCAGACAAAGAAUGGCAUUAGAAUUUCCAUUGCACUCUGUCAGGUAAGCAAAAUGAGGGAUCAGGACAACAGGUGGAAACCCAUAAGUACCUAAAGGAUGAUGUAGGGAACAUAGAGUAAGAUUUGUAAUGCUUUGUGAGCGGCUGGGGAUUUAAUUUUUUUUUUGUCUGAAUACAGCCCACAAAGGUUACUAAUGAUUUAAUUUUAUGUGUUCUUCUAGACUAAAAAUAUAAAUGUGUUCUUAUAGAAAAAUGAAAGGAAUUUCUAUAUCUCUGAGUUUUUGAGCAGCUUACCUCCUCACAUUUGUACUGAAGUCUUUCAGGACUGGUAAGAUUAGUCUCCUUUUUUUGGCUGGCCAAAUGCAAACUAAUACUAGAUUGUGUAGGCAGCUGUGGAUUGAUAUGAAUGAAUCACCAAAACUCAUCAAUUUCUGCAGAUAUUUUCUUGACAGCAGUAGAAAACUGCAGGGCUGGAGCUGCAGGGUGCUGGAAUAAAUAAUUUUUGCUAGCACGUAUAGGAAGUACAAUUUCCUUGAGUCUAGAGGUAGAAAGAGUCACCUGCACAGAGAUGUGUGGCAGCUUUUUCUUUCCAUCCCAGCAGAGGAAUGCUGAAAUAUAGUGUCUGUCUUUCUUGAUAAAGCCAGACUAGUUUUGAAAUGAGUGUCUGCUGUCUUCUGCAAAUAAGAUUGCAGCAGAUGGUUUCAUUGCUCCCCAGUCCCAAUCAGACAUAUGAAUUCUGCUUAAAACACUGAGGAAAAUACUAUGAAAAAGCAGUGCAGGCUUUGUGUGCCAGUGUGAAAUGGGUGUAGAGAUAUCAUGGCUAAAAGCAGAGGUGUAAGCCUUGCCUUUAAUGGGUACCUUAUCUGGAGAAAUUACAUAAACUUCUGGGCUUAUCUUGCAGGUCUGUGCACAAAUAGGUGUGUGUGCUCUGUCUGAACAUAGCAGAGACCAGCCUAGGUCACAAAAAUAGAACAAGUUUUGUUCUCUGGCACCCCACAUUGGGAUUUUAGGAGUGUGGAGAUCCAUUUCUCAUUUUGUUAUAAAGUUUUCCCAUGUCUUCCUUCCAGUUCUACCAAUUUAUGGGCAGGUACUUAUGCACAGUACUGUAAGCUAAAAUAUUUGUGCAUCUAAAAAUACAUAGAGGGAUGUGUUCUCCCACUGUUGCAGAGAAGCAGUGAAAAGACCCCUGAGUGCAGUUAUGUCACCACUCUUGUUCUGGGACUGGAAUCUCAGCUACAGAAAAGUGCUCUCCUGGAAACAGCAAACAAAGAGUGGGUUGUCCCCUCCUGCUGCAGCGUAUCCCCAAGUCCUGGUGCAAGGAGCUACAUCUCCGCAAACAUCUAUGUGCAUAUGCACGUGCUCUCUCUGUGUUUUUUGCACUUGAGCAUAAAACACAAAUCCCCUUCAGGUGUGAAACCUCCACAUCCCCACCUCUGGUUUGCUGUGAACCUCACCAGGAGCAAUAUGGGGGCACAGAUAAUGGCUUCUUUCACAAAGUAGUUGUCCAGCUCCAAUUCACUGUUCUUUUUCCCUUGCGCUGAAUUCCUUGCUAAUGCCAAUAUAACCUCUGCUUCCCUCCCUCUCCAUCCUCAAUGUAAAUUGACUUGCUGCAACCUGCCACUCUCCAGAAAUUACAAAGCCUAGGAAGAUAAUUUGUUGCUGGUGCUGAUAGCAUCUGUUUAUUCUAAUGCACCAGUUGGGCUGUUCUCGCCUGCACACGGGAGAAAAUGACCUUCAGUAGAAUCACAAACUUAACUCUGGAUCAGCAUCUCCCUCAGCAGCUGACUGCUGGGAAUAUGAAGUCUAUGUUUUCAGGGAGGCAGCAGCCAAACCAGUGCAGAGCAGGGCUGCCACCAGGGAGGCAGAAGGCAACCUAGAGCUUUUUCAAGAGUAAGUAUCUAUCAUAGUAAAUUUGUGGCCUGAAAAAUGCUGUGCACCACAUCUUUUUAGGACACUUGGAUUCCUUGUUUUCGUAAGUAUGAAAACUGCUUCUGCUACUUUGCACACCAAUGCCCAAUUAGACUUCAAUGCUGGUGCCUCAAGGAAGGUCUGAUUAGGACAUUCUUACUUGGAGAAUCAGAUAAAUAAAGAUGAUAAUACAGUUUAAAACUAAAUAAUCCACAGGAGUUCAAUUGGCUGACUGGUUGUGAUAAAAUUGGUAAUAGUGGCACAAAAAGAACCUUCUUUGUAUCUUAUGAAUAAACAGAAGAUGAAUGUUUUCUCUGGAUAAUGGAACAAUUUUCACUUCAUUGGUACUUGGGAGUAUAUUAAUCAGGUUUUAAAGUUACAUAUGCAAAUCUCACUGGGGUUUUCUAACUCCAAAUCCUAGAGGUACAAAGCCAAAGAGCUCCCUAGGUCUUUAUUUUGAUUUCUGAAAAGAAACACUGGGGAAGUUCUAGAGGCUAAAGAAAUCUAAAUUUAGAUCAAUAUUCUAAAUAGAUUGCUAUGAUCAUUAAUAAUUAACAUUAAUAUUAAUUCAAGGAUAUUCAAGGAUAUGCAAGGAAUACAUAAGGAAUAACAUACUGAAGCAGUGUAUCACAUGAAGGGACAUCUAGUACUGUUUUUUGGAAAUUAAUUAUGGUCAGCUUCAGUUGGAUUUAAAAAAAAGAAAUCUAUCUGGUUGAUUAUUACACUAAUGUUGAUGAAAGAACUUCCUGUAUGACUUAAACUUGUUCCCAUGCAUAUUCUUUCAUAAACUCAAAUGGUACAGUACCAAAUAAGAAGUAACAGAUGGAUUCCAACUGUUUCAGUUAUAAACUUCAGAGUGGGAUUUAUAAAGAGGUUUAAAGUAUAAAUAUAUAAAAUAGUUGUGUUCCUAGUGGGACCUAUUUGUUGCAAUAAGUGUUGCUUAAGAGUGUGGCAGUGACUGCAAGAAGGGGUGAAUUCCACUCUGCUGGUGUUAGCAGAGGACAGAAGGAGCAGUUUAACAUGGUUUGGAUCCUUUGGUAGAAUGGAAACAGCAAAUAAUUUCUCUUUUCAGGAUCCUACAGGUAAAGGAAAUGAAAAAUCUGAGAUCUAUGUACCAGAUGGAAUAGACUGGGCUGAGAAACAGCAAUCUGGAAAAUGACUGAGGACUUGAGUGCAUAAUUGGCUGAGUGUCAUCUCUCACUUCAGUGCUGUGGCCAAAGGGUCUAAAGCAACCCUUGGAGCCUUCCUAAUGCCUGCUUGAUAUUCCCUGUCUCUCUACUCAGAGAUUGCUUUACUGCUGUGUUUGGCACUGGUGCAGCUGCUUUGGGAGCACUCCAUCCAGCUGUGGUACCCACAAUUAAAGAAGGAUGUUGAAAACCUGGCGAUCUUUCAGAGAGGAGCCACAAGAAUGACUGCAGGAUUGGCAAACACCUUUCAGUGCAGUCCAUCCCCUUAGCUUACCAAAUGAGAACUCAAGAGAAGUCUGGUUCUCAAGUAUGCUAUAUAAGGAAGAGAAAUUCAGAAACAGAAGCUCCUUUGGGCAAUAGUGUAAUAAGAAUUAGUAGUUAGGAGUUGGACAAGUUCAUACUGUGUAUAAGUCUUCAACAUUUAACAGGGGAAACCAUUCUUGGAGCAAAAGUCAGGGCUAUGAUUUAUUCCAUCAUUUGCAGUAGAGAUUGGCUGCUUUUCCCAUCAGCUUCACCCAGGUUCAUGCAGAUAUUCAUUCAGAGCAGUCUUGUUGCUGGCAUCCUUUCAGAAGGCAGACCAUGGCUGCCCUCUGGCUCUGUUAAUUUACAGAUCAGAGUUCUCACUCCAAACUGUGAUCUAGAGACACAAAAUCCUUCAACAUACUAAUUCUGCUGUCUGAUGCUAAACCCUGUUCUUCAGUUUCACUGUAGGAUUGGACAGAAAAAGCAAGAAUUUGUGCAAGAAUUUGUAUGUGAGAUUUUGUUUGACCAUGUGAAAAGCUUUGGGACUAAUGUUAAUUUUAAAACCAUUUUUCCAUCUUUACAAUUCCCAUAUCAGCAUACAGCCUUGGGCAGGGCAGGAGGUUUUGAAUGAACAGUCAGACUCAGUCUCCUUUCCUCAAAGGCUUGAAGUCAUGGUCUGGCAAAAGGAUCCACCAAUAUUUGUGAAAUGGACACAGGAGAGCAAGGAAGAGAACAAUCAUCUCUCUGGUGCCAGGCCCUACCCCUGAUGUUCCCUGUAACAGAGCCUCACCUUGCAGUUUUGACUACCAGUCAGUCUGUGUGGUGCCCUGUGGCCUUGGUGUUACUCUGCCUUCCUCUCUGAGGGGAGAAUUUUUCUUGGGCAGCAAAGAAAAAAGCACACUGGCUAUGGCACAGUGAGAAAUUCUGCCUUUCUGCUGCCCACACUGUGAGAAAGAAGUCUGCCUGAAAUAUUCCCCAGUCCUUAAAAACAGAAAUGGGCAUGGCACAUCUCAGUGUUCAUUGAAUUGGGAUUGAAUUCUAAUAUUCUUUGAUCAAACCUCAAGUUUGGAGGAAGUAUGAGCCUUGAAUUUGGGUUAUUGACAUUUUAGAAAUACUACUUUCUGGUCUGUUUCUCUAGGACCAUUCAAAGCUCUUCUGUGGUUUUCUCCACUUCCCUACUGGGCUGCUUUGAUUUCUGAGCUCUGAGUUUAACAAAUAGAGGGCACUUUGCUUCCUCCUACAGAAAAGUAUUGUCACCAGGAUGAUGUGAAGCAAGGAAAUUUUGCUGAAGCCUUGAUUUGAAAUGUUUUUUUCAAGGGAGGUUUUUUUGCUUACUUUCAUGUCUAUAUAUAGCUUCCUCCAGGAGCACUUUUGCAAAACCCAGACUCUGCUAUGAUUGAAGUUGAUUCUAUACUCCUAGUUUUCCCCAUUUUUAUUGGAGAAACAUCUCCUUUUCUGUCCCUACCCAGACUGUGGAAGAGAGCCCAGCACAACGACCCACAGCUGGUUGUGCUCCUGCACCAGGCUCUCCAUGCUGACACCUACCCAGGGCCCUUGGCUUCCUUUGGGCAUCAGGACAGGUGUGGUUAUUCAAUUGCUUGUGUAAUGCUGGGCUUUUGAAAUCCCAUCCCCCAGGAGCUCUAUAUCAAUAUGGUAGAUAGAGAUGUAGUUCCCUGUUUCAUCUGAAGGGAUUUGGUAUCAUGACUGCAAAGUGAUAUAAAUAUUUCAGUUAUCAGCAGUUGAUAGGCAUUCAAGAUAGGUUGUGGGAUGAUUACAUUUGAUGCCUUUGCAGAGCAAUGGUAGAUGUAUCAUGAAAAAUAUCUUUUAAAAUAUAUUCUGUUUUAUAAAAAAGUGAGUUUGGUUUGGAUUAGUUGGAAACUUCUGGAACAACAUUAAUAAAACUGGAAAGAAAUUUUCCUUUUUUCAAUAUACAGUCAAUAUUGGGUCUCCAUGGUCAAAAAAGGAUUGCUUUUGAAAUUAACUUUGUGGAGAUCCAGUCAAAGCAAAAAUAACAUUGAAAUACAUUGUGUUGAUUCUUACCAGACAAACAUUCUUUCUGGAGCUAUUCUGGAAGGACAUUUCACCUGGAACAAGAAAGUCAGUUUCCAGAAAAACAGAUGAUGAAUGACUGUGUGUGUUCUCUGGGAUGAUGUGUCUAUCAGGAACCCUAUAUUCUCCCUUCAAAUAUGCCCUGCAUGGUAAAUAUUACCUCUUCACCCAGAAAACUCUAAUGGCAUGUCAGCCUUCCAGCUCCAAGCUGCUCCAUUUGUGUGCAGAAAGAAAGAGUGAAUCACUGUCUUAAUUAAGGAUCAGAACAGAGAUCCCACAAAGGCUCCUUACUGCUGCUUGGAGGCUGAUCCCUGCCCUCAUCCCUCCAUUCCAGAGCCACAGUCAGUGGGCAGUGCUGGGGACCACUUACUCUCCCUUCUGAUGCUCCAACUGGAUCACUGGCACCAGGUUUUAAAGCAGCUGCAACACAAGCCCAGAGUGCUCAGGUUGGAUGGAGAUCCUGCACUGUAAGG